UCUUUGUCUUGGUUCGGUGACCCUCUCGGCUCUGAGAGUGAUCUUUCUAUCUCCAGGCUUUCUAAUCUUCUGUUUCCAAGUUGUAAGUACAAGGAUAGUAAGACAAUAGGUUUAUAUUGUUUUUUUUUUGUAUUUACAUGUGUGUAGUUGCUGGAGUGUAUUCUUUUUGGAUAAGGCUAUUUUUUCUUUUAAGCAAUUGACCCUGUAUAUUGUCACCUUGAUACAGAGACCCUUUUAUGUCCUUUUUCAUUCUUUUUAUAUAAAGCUUUCUUUUUAAGA